rnacentral:rRNA from 1 species
AGAACGAACGCUGGCGGCGUGGAUUAGGCAUGCAAGUCGAACGCGAAAGAGGGGGGAAACCCCCCUCUAGUAGAGUGGCGAACGGGUGAGUAACGCGUGAAGAACCUGCCUUCAACAGGGGGAUAACACUCCCAACGGGGUGCUAAUACCGCAUGAGACCACGGGAUCGCAUGGUCCUGAGGUCAAAGGUGGCCUCUAUUUAUAAGCUACCGGUUGAAGAUGGCUUCGCGUCCCAUUAGCUAGUUGGCGGUAGUAAAACGACCACCAAGGGCGACGAUGGGUAGCUGGUCUAGAGGAGGUAGUGGUCAGACCACGUACGUGGGACUGAGACUACCGGCCCAGACCUCCGACGGGAGCAG